rnacentral:tRNA from 1 species
GGUCCUAUAGCUCAGGGGUGAGAGCACUGGUCUCGUAAACCAGGGGUCGUGAGUUCGAAUCUCACUAGGGCCU